AUUCCAGCUCCAAUAGCGUAUAUUAAUGUUGUUGCAGUUAAAAAGCUCGUAGUUGGAUUUCUGGUCGGAACGCCGGUCCGGCUCCGCAAGGGGUCGUGUAUUGGUUUCUCCUGCCAUCCUCAGGAGGAGCUGCGCUGGUAUUCAUUUAUCGGCGUGGUUACGCCUGUCGUUUACUGUGAACAAAUUAGAGUGUUCAAAGCAAGGUGUACUUGAAUACAUUAGCAUGGAAUAAUAAGAUAGGACUUUGGUGGUUCUUUUUGAUAUUUUGUUGGUUUGCACGCCAAAGUAAUGAUUAAUAGGAGCAGUUGGGGGUAUUCGUAUUCAAUUGUCAGAGGUGAAAUUCUUGGAUUUAUAGAAGACGAACUACUGCGAAAGCAUUUACCAAGGAUGUUUUCAUCA
rnacentral:rRNA from 1 species